CAACAUUGAAUUGAAACAAAAACAAAAGAUACACAAAAGAAAAGAAAGUCAAAACGUAAAAAAGAACAUAAAUAUAUUCAAAUUCAAGGUAUUUCAAAGCAAUAAUCAAAAAGAAAGAAAGAAUGUUUAGACAAUCAAAUAUCUCCAAAAGUUGCUAAAACAAAUUCAUAGAGGGGCUUAUAACAGUCCCUGUUUUUGAGAAGUUGCUGAAGGGAGAGCGGGAUUUCUUCAGCUGUACGAUAUAUGUUCAGGAGGCGGUCUAUGAGAAGCAAUCUGGGAAGAGUGAAACUACUGCAAUCAAAGAAAAGAUGUUGCAAAGUCUGAUCAGCAGAGUUACAGAAAUUACAAGCAGAAGCUGCCCAAGGGAACCAAAAUAUGAACUACUAAUUCUUGAGGAAGAAGACUGCAACUUCAGAAGCAAAGGAUGAUUUUUAAUAGAAGAAAUUUUCAAUAGAAACUUAAAGAUGAGAUAUUUGAACCUGCUUAACAAAGGAGACAACUGCAAUGAAGACAGAACAGUUGUUAAAAUAUCCAAAUUAACAUUAUUAAAAGCGCCAACAACAUCGAAGAAAAUACAACCCAAAAUCUGAUCACGAGACAGAGCAUCACGGACAUCCAGACAAAAGUGACUCAGGCUUUCCCGCGCCGACCGUCCUCGACGAAAGCCAAAUUGAUUAGCUGGUUGGCGUGAGGCGGGAUGUUCGCCGAAGAGUCUGUAGCAACUGAAGGAGAAGAUGUAAAAUAAUACUUCGUCAAAGUGGGUAGAUGAUAGCUACCACCUAAGGGAUCUGACAUGACCUGCCAUUCACAUGACAAGGCCAGUGAUGAGGAAACCAAUGUUAAAUCAAGGCCAUUUGGCCGCCAACUAAGGGUACCUGUUGUCGUUGCACGUCCGUCAUUCAAGAGAACCAAUUCAUUCUCAUCCAUGGAGUCCAAGACGCUUCUGCCUCGUGUAUCAAUACUACCACACCCCCAAAUGGUGUGAUGUGCAUUGAAAUCGCCUGCAAUAAUCAACGGUUUUGGAAUACUCCGAAUCAAAUUGUCAAAUCUACCUUUAUUAAAGGUAGGAUUACAAUUACCUGGACUGUAAAAACUAGCGAUAGAUAUGUAUUUUUGAUCAAUUUGAACCUGAACUACAACGUUUUGUAGUGAGUCAUCAAAUAAAGUGUCUAAUUUACGAAA